AAUCUGCCUCUAUGAUGGGGAUAACAGUUGGAAACGACUGCUAAUACCGAAUACGCUCAUGAUGAACUUUAUGAGGAAAGGUGGCCUCUGCUUGCAAGCUAUCGCAUAGAGAUGAGUCCGCGUCCCAUUAGCUAGUUGGUGGGGUAACGGCCUACCAAGGCAACGAUGGGUAGCCGAUCUGAGAGGAUGAUCGGCCACACUGGAACUGAAACACGGUCCAGACUCCUACGGGAGGCAGCAGUGGGGAAUAUUGCGCAAUGGGCGAAAGCCUGACGCAGCGACGCCGCGUGAGGGAUGAAGGUCUUCGGAUCGUAAACCUCUGUCAGAAGGGAAGAAACUAGGGUGCUCUAAUCAUCAUCCUACUGACGGUACCUUCAAAGGAAGCACCGGCUAACUACGUGCCAGC
rnacentral:rRNA from 1 species